AUUCCAGCUCCAAUAGCGUAUAUUUAAGUUGUUGCAGUUAAAAAGCUCGUAGUUGGAUUUCGGGUGGGUACCGCCGGUCUCCCGCUGGGUAUGUACUGGCGUGGCCCGCCUUGCUGUCGGGGACGAUCUCCUGGGCUUUACUGUCCGGGAAUCGGAGUCGACGAUGUUACUUUGAGUAAAUUAGAGCGUUCAAAGCAAGCCUACGCUCUGAAUAUAAUAGCAUGGGAUAACACGACAGGACUCUGGCCUAUCGUGUUGGUCUGUAGGACCGGAGUAAUGAUUAAGAGGGACAGUCGGGGGCAUUCGUAUUCCAUUGUCAGAGGUGAAAUUCUUGGAUUUAUGGAAGACGAACAUCUGCGAAAGCAUUUGUCAAGGAUGUUUUCAUU
rnacentral:rRNA from 1 species